CUGAAACGUAUGAGAACUAAUGAUAAUCCCACCACCCUUUGCUGACUCUCUUUUCAGACUCAGCCUGCCUGCACCCACAUGAAAUAAACAGUCUUGUUGCUCACACAAAGCCUGUUUAGUGGUCUCUUCACACAGAUGCGUAUGACAUUUGGUGCUGAAGACCAGGGUCAGAGGGACUGCUUCAAGAGACCAGUUCCCUGUCCUCACCCUCACUCUGUGAAGAGAUCCACCUACAACCUCCGGUCCUCAGACCAACCAGCCCAAGGAACAUCUCACCAAUUUCAAAUCAGAUCUCCUCAGCUUAGCAGCUGAAGACUGACUCUGCCUGAUCACAUUGGAAGCCCCCUGGACCAUCACGGACGCCGAGCUUUAGGUAACUCUUAUGGUGGAGGAUGGAUUCUCGCUCUGUUGCCCAGGCUGGAGUCCAGUGGCGCCAUCUGCAAGCUCCGCCUCCUGGGUUCACGCCAUUCUCCUGCCUCAGCCUCCCCAGCAGCUGGGACUACAGGCGCCCGCCACCAUGCCCGGCUAAUUUUUGGUAUUUUUAGUAGAGACGGGGUUUCACCCUGUUAGCCAGGAUGGUCUCCAUCUCCUGACCUCGUGAUCCACCCGCCUCGGCCUCCCAAAGUGCUGGGAUUACAGGCGUGAGCCACUGCGCCCAGCCUAGGUAUUUCAAUAGAAGUGGAAUAAAGCCAAUUUAUUGUCUUUGAAAAUCAUGGCACUGUAUGUUUCCAUC
rnacentral:lncRNA from 1 species